CCUACGGGUGGCAGCAGUAGGGAAUCUUCCACAAUGGGCGAAAGCCUGAUGGAGCAACGCCGCGUGGGUGAAGAAGGUCUUCGGAUCGUAAAACCCUGUUGUUAGAGAAGAAAGUGCGUAAGAGUAACUGUUCACGUUUCGACGGUAUCUACCCAGAAAGCCCCGGCUAACUCCGUGCCAGCAGCCGCGGUAAUACGGAGGUGGCAAGCGUUAUCCGGAUUUAUUGGGCGUAAAGGGAACGCAGGCGGUCUUUUAAGUCUGAUGUGAAAGCCUUCGGCUUAACCGGGGUAGUGCAUUGGAAACUGGGAGACUUGAGUGUAGAAGAGGAGAGUAGAACUCCAUGUGUAGCGGUGAAAUGCGUAGAGAUAUGGAAGAAUACCAGUGGCGAAAGCGGCUCCCUGGGCAGUAACUGACGCUGAGGUUCGAAAGCGUGGGUAGCAAACAGGAUUAGAUACCCCUGUAGUC
rnacentral:rRNA from 1 species